GACGAACGCUGGCGGCGUGCUUAACACAUGCAAGUCGAACGGAAAGGCCCCUUUGGGGGUACUCGCGUGGCGAACGGGUGAGUAACACGUGAGUAACCUGCCCUUGACUUCGGGAUAACUUCCGGAAACUGGGGGUAAUACCGGAUAGGAAUCCUUGCCGCAUGGUGGGGGUUGGAAAGCUUCGGCGGUUUUGGGUGGACUCGCGGCUUAUUAGCUUGUUGGUGGGGUGGUGGCUUACCAAGGCUUUGUCGGGUAGCCGGCCCGGGAGGGGGACCGGCCACAUUGGGACUUGGGUACGGCCCAGGCUCCCUCGGGAGGGAGCAGGGGGGAAUAUUGGACAAAGGGCGGAAGCCUGAUGCAGCAACGCCGCGGUCGGGAUGACGGGCUUCGGGGUGGAAACCGCUUUCAGCAGGUGCGGAGCUUGUGGUGACGGUACCUGCAAAAGAAGCACCGGCUAACUACGUG
rnacentral:rRNA from 1 species